GUGUCUUCGGAGACAUUCGAUAAAUUUGGAACGAUACAAAGAAAAUUAUUUAGCAUGACCCUUGCACAAGGAUGACACGUACAAAUCGAGAAACCCUAGUUCUAAUUUCUU
rnacentral:snRNA from 1 species